CUUGGCUAGGGUUAGAGAACAAUGCAGCUAUAAUGUAGGAUAGCAACCAGGGCUUUCCUCUCCAUCAUUUACUGCCCUUGAGCGCCCCGUGAGGAAGAAACCGUGUAUUGCCUCAUGCCCCAGAGAGGUAAACGGAGGCUAGAGAAAUUACGCAGCUGGGACCAGGCAGUGGUGGUGAAGACAGAUGACAGUACCUGUCUCAGAAAACGUUGUUUUAGGAGUCGGCAUGGUAACAGGGGAAAAGAAAAAAAAAGGAGGAACAUUGAUAAUGAGACCCUCAUGAUCCAAGGAAAAGGGGUCCUAAAAAUCAGAGGAAGCCCCAACAGAGAGAGGAAGGCAGGGGAACUCAGGAAGAAGAGGCAAAGAGAGGAAGAUG
rnacentral:lncRNA from 10 species